AGUAUGCGCAUGGAACACAACUAAGCCACAGAAGAGAGAUGAAGAGUACAGAUUGUUGCAAAGAAGGUCGUUUUUGUCUUCUAAUCCAGUGUUGUUCAGGAGGGAGUCAGUCUUUUGUCAGACCCAGGUGCCAGCUAACAAAGAGUGAAGGCCAGCCAUCACUGAGCGAGCUCAGAGGAGCGUUUCCUCCAAGCUGGCAGCUGAAACUGUUCUACUGUAUCUGCUCUCGAUGGCUCCAGGCCACCCUUCCUGGGCCUGUUCCCACUGCCUCCAGGCAUCUACUCCUGUGCCUGAUCAAAGAGUCUGCAGGCAG